rnacentral:rRNA from 1 species
AUUGAACGCUGGCGGUAGGCCUAACACAUGCAAGUCGAACGGCAGCACAGUAAUAGCUUGCUCUUACGGGUGGCGAGUGGCGGACGGGUGAGGAAUACAUCGGAAUCUACUUUUUCGUGGGGGAUAACGUAGGGAAACUUACGCUAAUACCGCAUACGACCUACGGGUGAAAGCAGGGGAUCUUCGGACCUUGCGCGAUUGAAUGAGCCGAUGUCGGAUUAGCUAGUUGGCGGGGUAAAGGCCCACCAAGGCGACGAUCCGUAGCUGGUCUGAGAGGAUGAUCAGCCACACUGGAACUGAGACACGGUCCAGACUCCUACGGGAGGCAGCAGUGGGGAAUAUUGGACAAUGGGCGCAAGCCUGAUCCAGCCAUACCGCGUGGGUGAAGAAGGCCUUCGGGUUGUAAAGCCCUUUUGUUUGGAAAGAAAAGCAGCAGGUUAAUACCCCGCUGUUCUGACGGUACCCAAAGAAUAAGCACCGGCUAACUUCGUG